rnacentral:lncRNA from 1 species
GCUGAUUUUUAAAUAAAUAAAAAAGAUAAAACUAUUGAACCAUAAACUUCGCAGUUGUGAACAAAUUCUCCUCAUUUAUGCGUGUUCUUAAAUACAUGGUUAGCGUACACGGUGUACACGAUUGCUUUUUUUUUUUUUGAAUUGGAGAUGUUAUAAUGAUAAUUUUAUAUAUACUUAAGGAUAUUAAUUUAAUGAUUGAGAUCAUUAUUGGGUGAAUAACCUUACUUAAGGUAUGAAAUUGUUAAAUUUGUAUGCGUGUUCUUACAUACACGAUUGGCGUACACGGUGUACACGAUCCAUGUAGCAAAGAAUCCUAAAACGUGUGUGAUAUUGUUUUCUGUAAUUUUGCUUGAUAAAAUUUG